rnacentral:rRNA from 1 species
GGGGAAUAUUGGGCAAUGGGCGAAAGCCUGACCCAGCAACGCCGCGUGAGGGAAGAAGGGUUUCGGCUCGUAAACCUCUGUCCUAUGGGACGAAGGAAGUGACGGUACCAUAGGAGGAAGCCCCGGCUAACUACGUGCCAGCAGCCGCGGUAAUACGUAGGGGGCGAGCGUUGUCCGGAAUGAUUGGGCGUAAAGGGAGCGUAGGCGGUUAAUUAAGUUAGAUGUGAAAUACCCGGGCUUAACUUGGGGGUGCAUCUAAUACUGGUAAACUAGAGUACAGGAGAGGAAAGCGGAAUUCCUAGUGUAGCGGUGAAAUGCAUAGAUAUUAGGAGGAACACCGGUGGCGAAGGCGGCUUUCUGGACUGUAACUGACGCUGAGGCACGAAAGCGUGGGGAGCAAAC